rnacentral:rRNA from 1 species
AGCGAACGCUGGCGGCAGGCUUAACACAUGCAAGUCGAGCGGGCACUUUCGGGUGUCCGCGGCGGACGGGUGAGUAACGCGUGGGAACGUGCCCUCUGGUUCGGAAUAACUCAGGGAAACUUGAGCUAAUACCGGAUACGCCCUUUUGGGGAAAGGCUUGCUGCCGGAGGAUCGGCCCGCGUCUGAUUAGCUAGUUGGUGAGGUAACGGCUCACCAAGGCGACGAUCAGUAGCUGGUCUGAGGAUGAUCAGCCACACUGGGACUGAGACACGGCCCAGACUCCUACGGGAGGCAGCAGUGGGGAAUAUUGGACAAUGGGCGCAAGCCUGAUCCAGCCAUGCCGCGUGAGUGAUGAAGGCCUUAGGGUUGUAAAGCUCUUUUAUCCGGGACGAUAAUGACGGUACCGGAGGAAUAAGCCCCGGCUAACUUCGUG